rnacentral:rRNA from 1 species
AUGAACGCUGGCGGCGUGCCUAAUACAUGCCAGUCGAGCGAACAGACGAGGAGCUUGCUCCUCUGACGUUAGCGGCGGACGGGUGAGUAACACGUGGAUAACCUACCUAUAAGACUGGGAUAACUUCGGGAAACCGGAGCUAAUACCGGAUAAUAUAUUUAACCGCAUGGUUCAAUAGUGAAAGACGGUUUUGCUGUCACUUAUAGAUGGAUCCGCGCCGCAUUAGCUAGUUGGUAAGGUAACGGCUUACCAAGGCGACGAUGCGUAGCCGACCUGAGAGGGUGAUCGGCCACACUGGAACUGAGACACGGUCCAGACUCCUACGGGAGGCAGCAGUAGGGAAUCUUCCGCAAUGGGCGAAAGCUUGACGGAGCAACGCCGCGUGAGUGAUGAAGGUCUUCGGAUCGUAAAACUCUGUUAUUAGGGAAGAACAAAUGUGUAAGUAACUAUGCACGUCUUGACGGUACCUAAUCAGAAAGCCACGGCUAACUACGUG